AAGUCGAGCGAACGGACGAGAAGCUUGCUUCUCUGAUGUUAGCGGCGGACGGGUGAGUAACACGUGGAUAACCUACCUAUAAGACUGGGAUAACUUCGGGAAACCGGAGCUAAUACCGGAUAAUAUUUUGAACCGCAUGGUUCAAAAGUGAAAGACGGUCUUGCUGUCACUUAUAGAUGGAUCCGCGCUGCAUUAGCUAGUUGGUAAGGUAACGGCUUACCAAGGCAACGAUGCAUAGCCGACCUGAGAGGGUGAUCGGCCACACUGGAACUGAGACACGGUCCAGACUCCUACGGGAGGCAGCAGUAGGGAAUCUUCCGCAAUGGGCGAAAGCCUGACGGAGCAACGCCGCGUGAGUGAUGAAGGUCUUCGGAUCGUAAAACUCUGUUAUUAGGGAAGAACAUAUGUGUAAGUAACUGUGCACAUCUUGACGGUACCUAAUCAGAAAGCCACGGCUAACUACGUGCCAGCAGCCGCGGUAAUACGUAGGUGGCAAGCGUUAUCCGGAAUUAUUGGGCGUAAAGCGCGCGUAGGCGGUUUUUUAAGUCUGAUGUGAAAGCCCACGGCUCAACCGUGGAGGGUCAUUGGAAACUGGAAAACUUGAGUGCAGAAGAGGAAAGUGGAAUUCCAUGUGUAGCGGUGAAUGCGCAGAGAUAUGGAGGACACCAGUGGCGAAGGCGACUUUCUGGUCUGUAACUGACGCUGAUGUGCGAAAGCGUGGGGAUCAAACAGGAUUAGA
rnacentral:rRNA from 1 species